GAUGAACGCUGACAGAAUGCUUAACGCAUGCAAGUCUUUGGCGAAGCUGUGCUUGCACCACCUAGCCAAGGCGGACGGGUGAGUAACGCGUAAGGAACUUGCCCUGCAGUCAGGGAUAACAGACGGAAACGACUGAUAAGACCUGGUAAAGUCAGGCGGACUCAUGUCCAGCCUGAUGAAAAGAGAUGCUGCAGGAGAGCCUUGCGUCCUAUUAGCUUGUUGGUGGGGUAACGGCCCACCAAGGCGAUGAUAGGUAGCCGGCCUGAGAGGGUGGACGGCCACAAGGGGACUGAGAUACGGCCCUUACUCCUACGGGAGGCAGCAGUGGGGAAUAUUGGACAAUGGGGGCAACCCUGAUCCAGCAAUUCUGUGUGCACGAUGAAGGUUUUCGGAUUGUAAAGUGCUUUCAGCAGGGAAGAAAAAAAUGACGGUACCUGCAGAAGAAGCGACGGCUAAAUACGUG
rnacentral:rRNA from 1 species